CCAUGUAAAUUUACGAGGAAAUAUUUUCGUCGUAAAGUCCAUGUAAGUUUACGACGAAAGUAUACGUGGAAUGAGAAAUACGUCGUAAUCGUUACAUCGACAUUACAACGAAACAUGUUACCGUUAUAUUUAGGUGAAAAUAUAUAUUCAAUGUGCUUUAACUUACCUAAUUUCGUCGUAAAGUUGUUGUAAAUAUUAUGUUAAAACCAUGUAAAAUUCAUGUAAAACAUUCCUUGUAAAAUCGUUAUUAAAUUUCAACUACCCAAC
rnacentral:lncRNA from 1 species